rnacentral:rRNA from 1 species
AUUUGAUUCAAUGGGUCAGUAUCGUGGUCUGUUGUUGAAGAACUCACUCCAAGUCUCUAUAGUAUUGUAAUGUUGUAAUGCUUCCAAUUGUAAAUCUAAGUCCAUCAUAUGUCUAAGGUUUGAAAGGAUGCAAAUGGUGCAAUGCAUUGUAAAUAUGGGGAUUUAUCUAAUGAGGACAUGAGACUCUAUUGUUGUCAAGCAUAUUUUGCUUAAUGUACACAUGUGUUUGAUGGAAUGAGAAGAAUAAUAAAGCUACAUUGUUUUUUCUCUAUCAUUUGUUUCUCAUGUGAUAUUUGGAUAUGUGUGUGUAUAAUAGUAGAAUGCUAGCUAUGAAAUCCCUGAAUGUCAACCCAGAUGGAUCUAUGAGUGUUUAUCCCUUCAUCCCCGACACAAGACCAAAUGGUCUCUAUGAUCCUCAUUGCGUCUCGAGUGAGACUUUCUUCAGCCUCAACUGAAGAUUGAUAUGUCAAUGCUUUUUGGUUUUUGUUGGUCAACUCUGAAUGAACCCUGGGUAUAAACCCCCCAACAUUAAGAAGGAUGCACGUAAGCGUGAAACGACCCAACAAAUGGUUUUGUUGCUGAGACCAAAAAUCUUGUAUUGAAUAAUGAAGCAGAAAAACGAGGUGCUAUCCAUCUCGAGAGGAAAUUCAAGACUGACUAACUACAAAGGAACAUGAGUUUUCCCUAUGAGAAACUCAAGGUUAGAGGGUGAAUGUGAAGAGAUGGAAAUACAAGUAUCUCUAAACUGAUAUGCAUGAGGCAUUCUUUCUGGAAUUUCCUUGUUUGUUGUAUGAAUGGUUGAAAAGGUAAACUGCUACCAAUUUUGCUUUGUCGCCUCUAGAACCAGUGGUUUGGGAUCAAGCCACAAUUGAUAGGCUAAAGACAUUGGACAAAAAUUUGGCUUGAGCCAUCGACUUUUGGUUUUCUCGAGAAAAAGGAAGGAUAUAUUAUUGAAUUUUAUAUGGAGUACACUGAUUCUUUCAAUUAGUCUGAGAGAAAUUUCACGGAAGGUCCUAGAAAGCGAAUGUUGGAAGAAAUCCCACUCUAGAUCAAGAUGUUAUUCAUGGAGAAAGGGAUGAUGCGCAUGGCACCCGACAAGAUGGUUGAGUAAACUCCCCUAGCACUUGGGGGGGGGGAUGAAAAUAUGAUGGAAAAGUGAGAGAGGAGAUGGAUCUGUUGAGGAGGAUCUGAAAAUUGUUGAAAUGAGGUGAAUUAUGGAACAGACUCAGAGGAGCUAAGAGAAAGAGAGAGUUGAGAGAUAAACGAGACGAAUUGAGUGGAGAAGGAAAGUGUGUGAGAGGAUUGAAAAGAAGUUGGCUAGGGGUGCGUGAUGAGGAUUCUAUCCCAGGAUGAAGAGAAAAGAGAUCGCACCAGGAGGAAGUGUGGAAGAGUGUGUUGUGUUGGAGAGGAGCACAGGUGAUGGUAGGCCCUCGAAGAGGUGUGACAUUGAGAGUAGGGUGUCUAGUGGGGAUACUGAAAGUAGUGGUGUUGGUAGCAAGAGGGGCCCCAGAGACAAAGUCUGAGCCCCUUGGUUGUUACAGAGUGCUGCAACCUUGGAGGAAGAUGAGGUGCAAAGUAGAGGCGUAGGAUAAGGAGAAGAAGAUGGAGGCUCCCCUAGUGGUAGAAUGUGAUUUCUGCUCAGUGCUUUGAAUGUCAAAGUGAAGAAAUUCAACCAAGCGUGGGUAAACAGCGGGAGUAACUAUGACUCUCUUAAGGUAGCCAAAUGCCUCGUUAUCUAAUUAGUGACGCACAUGAAUGGAUUAACGAGAUUCCCACUGUCCCUAUCUACUAUCUAGCGAAACCACAGCCAAGGGAACGGGCUUGGCAGAAUCAGUGGGGAAAGAAGACCCUAUUGAGCUUGACUCUAGUCCGACUUUGUGAAAUGACUUGAGAGGUGUAGAAUAAGUGGGAGUCGUUUUCGGCGCAAGUGAAAUACCACUACUUUUAAUGUUAUUUUACUUAUUUCGUUGGGCGGAGAUGGGGCAUUGCCCCUGUUUUUGGCCUUAAGACACGUUUCGACGGGUCGAUCUGGGCGGAAGACAUUGUCAGGUGGGGAGUUUGGCUGGGGCGACACAUCUGUUAAAAGAUAAUGCAGGUGUCCUAAGAUGAGCUCAACGAGAACAUAAAUCUCAUGUGGAACAAAAGGGUAAAAGAUCAUUUGAUUUUGAUUUUCAGUACAAAUACAAACCGUGAAAGCGUGGCCUAUCGAUCCUUUAGACUUUCAUAAUUUGAAGCUAGAGGUGUCAGAAAAGUUACCACAUGGAUAACUGGCUUGUGGCAGCCAAGCGUUCAUAGCGACGUUUCUUUUUUAUCCUUCGAUGUUGACUCUUCCUAUCAUUGUGAAGUAGAAUUCACCAAGUGUUGGAUUGUUCACCCACCAAUAGGGAUCGUGAGCUGGGUUUAGACCAUCGUGAGACAGGUUAGUUUUACCCUACUGAUGAACUGCGUCGCAAUAGUAAUUCAACUUAGUACGAGAGGAACCGUUGAUUCACACAACUGGUCAUCGCGCUUGGUUGAAAAUCCAGUGGCAUGAAGCUACCGUGUGUCGGAUUAUGACUGAACGCCUCUAAGUCAGAAUCCACGCUAGAAGCGGCGCUUGUCACUCCUUGACUGUAUCUUGACCCGCAGUAGGGGUGUCGCUUUGGCACCCCCAGGGGCCCGUGUCACUUGCGAACCUCGGUCGGGAAGCGUCUCGGUCGGGGCAGCUUUUAAGUUCAAUUUCAAACGGUCGUUGAGAAGAAUCCUUUGCAGACGACUUAAAUACGUGACGGGGUAUUGUAAGUGGCAGAGUGGCCUUGCUACCACGAUCCAUUAAGAUUCAACCCUCCAUCGCCUCGAUUCAGAGCU